rnacentral:rRNA from 1 species
AUGGAGUUAAGUUUGUCUCAUACGCUUCGUCUUUUUAAUAUCUUUUGUGAGUUUGAUGGAAAGGAAAAUUGUGCUCAAGUGCUAGAAGAAGAAUGCUUUAAAAUGCUUGGUACUAAAUCUUUGAAUGAUGAGCAUGAUUGCAAUGUUGUUAGUAUAAACUCCUUGAAUAUCCAUAGUAUUAAUGAUGGUUUCUCUAGUCAUGAUGAAAAUAUCUCUUAUGAGCAUGUUAACUUUUGUGGACUGCAUGUUUGCAUGAACACACCAAAUAGAGAAGAUAUUUAUUGCAAGAGGCAUAAGCAUUUAGAAACUAAAUGGUUGCAUGAAAGUCUAGGUGUGAGUGCUGAAAAUUUAAAAUUCCUUUGCCGUACUUGUGAACUUUGCAAUGAACAUGGUCAUUUAACUAUGCAAAUUGUUUCAUGA